rnacentral:misc_RNA from 1 species
CCAAUAGCGUAUAUUAAAGUUGCUGCAGUUAAAAAGCUCGUAGUUGAAUUUCGGGACUAAUAUGUCGGUCGUGCCUCGGUACGUACUGGUAUUUUUGGUUUCUCCCUUCUGACGAACCUUGAUGUCAUUAAUUUGGUGUCUUGGGAAAUCAGGACUGUUACUUUGAAAAAAUUAGAGUGUUUAAAGCAGGCUCACGCUUGAAUACAUUAGCAUGGAAUAAUGAAAUAGGACGUUUGAUUCUAUUUUGUUGGUUUCUAGGAUCGACGUAAUGAUUAAUAGGGAUAGUUGGGGGCAUUAGUAUUCAAUUGUCAGAGGUGAAAUUCUUGGAUUUAUUGAAGACUAACUACUGCGAAAGCAUUUGCCAAGGAUGUUUUCAUUAAUCAAGAACGAAAGUUAGGGGAUCGAAGACGAUCAGAUACCGUCGUAGUUCUGACCAUAAACGAUGUCGACUGGCGAUCCGCGGACGUCGCUUCUAUGACCCCGCGGGCAGCCUUCG